GUAUUUGACCUGGCGCGCCUAAAAUUUCGACUCUUCCCCAUUUAUUUUGAACUGAAAUGGAACGAUCUCAUGUUUUCAUUCCACAACUCCUCUCUAUAAAAUCGUGCCAUACCACCACUCCCUAACGUCGCCGUCUCUCACCUUUUCCAUUCUGACGUUCUCUUUGAAAACCCUAGAUUCAUAAUGUACACCCAAACAUACUAACGAUCUCCAUCGAUGUCUGAAAAUCUAACACCACUGACUACUCUUUAGAGUCAGAUACGGCCACAAACCGCUGCUCUCCAGUUGCCACCCUGCAGGGUUCUGUUUGAAGAGUUUUAUAAAUCAUGGAUUUUUUGGUUAGUGAAAGCCCCAAAUUCGAUUGUGUUUUCAUCUGCAGAGUAUUUGGUGGAAUAUUAAUGAUGUUUACUGUGGAGAACUUGAAAACAUAUCCUCCCUUUUAAUAUGUUGUGGACCAUUUUGCAUUUGGUGUGGCUUUAUUGUUUUUCUGUUGGGUGAAAAGUUCCUACUUUUGUGAGAGAAGACUGUUUUGUCCGAUACUUGACGAUAUUGCCCCUGGUGUUGCUUUUACCCCUUUAUAAAUCAAGACUUCACAGGAACUUGGCAUACUUGCUGUGCGAAGAUAUCAAGGUUUAUUGAUUUUCUUGGUGAUGUCUAGAUUCAAGAGUUUAGUUAUCAUCUUUUUUCAUGGUUGUUGAUCAGUAAGCAAGCACUUGUCUUUUUUGAUGUGCUUUGUGUUUUGGUUUGUUGAUAUUGAUAGUAUUUUUUCUCCCUUUUAUAUUUAUUUGUACCAACUCUUUGUAUUGUUCCAUCUUCCCGUUGGUCUAUUGAUUUUGUUUAUAAUA